CCACGCCCGGCUAAUUUUUUGUAUUUUAAGUAGAGACGGGGUUUCACCAUGUUAGCCAGGAUGGCCUUGAUCUCCUGACCUCGUGAUCUGCCCACCUCGGCCUCCCAAAGUGCUGGCACUACAGGCAUGAGCCACCGCGCCAGGCCUUUAUAGCGAUAUUCUUGAAUGCAGAUGAAGAGGAUGGAAUCCAGUGACAAGUGGAGGGCUGUCCUCAGAUAGGAGUCCAGGUUCAAUUUCUGGUUGGUAAUUGGCAAUGAUGGAAUGACUGUCCGGAGUAAAGAAGCCUCUCUUUGUUCUUGUGCCAUGAUUUCCCAGCCAGGCAGUGCUUGCAGUUCACUGGACUGAUCAUUUUCUUUCACACUCUGUGCCUUUGCAAAUAUUAUUCUUUUGUCUGAAAAUUGCCUGCUCCCAACCCUUCAUUAUCAUCCCCACUAACUCUCACCCACCCUCCCCAGCUUGUUGACUUGGAAACUCCUUCUUUUUUUACCAGCUGCAAUUCAAGCAACACCUCCUCUGGGGAGCCUUUUCAACUCUGCCUUAGUCUUUUUUGGCCCUAGUUUUUGCAUCUCUCCAGAUUCACUGGGCUUUCUCUGCUUUCUGGGUCACUUGUUCAGUGAAGAACCCCUACCCCAUCAUCACCACAACUCUUAACCCUACCACCCUUAGCCCUUUCCAGAUGAGGGCUGUGCUCUAGCAUGGCUCCUUCAUACUCACCAUGAUGGGACUGCAAAGACCCUGGUGUCUGGGGCCUGAACCCACUGGGCCCCUGAAGUUCAGCUUCCUGCAGCAUUCCCAGAAUCUGAGGAAGCACCGUGAACCGAGGUCUGGGCUCUGACUUCCCUGAUCCUGGAGCCAGGUCAUCCAAUCUGUAAAUGUAAAGGAUGGAAUUAUUUUUACCAAUGAGGAACAGCUGGAGGCCUCAGAUAUGAAUAUUCAGGAUUGGUGAAAGAACUCAACAAUUUGACUGAGUGUCAUAAUUGUGGCACAGGGAGGAAGGAAGGACAGCAUACCAAGCCCUUAAUCACACGCUACCCAGAUACCAGCAUAAGGCCCGACAUUCUAGAACAGGGGCCAGCUCAUGGCCUACUUUUCUUUGGCCGGUAAACAUCCAGAUGGCCGGUUUCUGCCUUAACUGAUGACAUUCCGCCACAAAAGAAGUGAAAAUGGCCUAUUCCUGCCUUAACUGAUGACAUUAUCUUGUGAAAUUCCUUCUCCUGGCUCAUCCUGGCUCAAAAGCUCCCCUACUGAGCACCUUGUGACCCCCCAUUCCUGCCCCCCCAGAGAACAACCCCCCUUUUUCCUUUACCUACCCAAAUCCUAUAAAACAGCCCCACCCCUAUCUCCCUUCGCUGACUCUCUUUUCGGACUCAGCCCGCCUGCACCCAGGUGAUUAAAAGCUUUAUUGCUCACACAAAGCCUGUUGGGUGGUCUCUUCACACGGACGCACAUAAAACUUACUAUCAAAUUCUUUAGAAAAAGAGCUUGUGUUCUCAUUGUUCAGUUCCCACCUACGAGUGAGAACAUAUGGUGUUUGGUUUUUUGCCCUUGCGAUAGUUUGCUGAGAAUGAUGGUUUCCAGCUUCAUCCAUGUCCCUACAAAGGACAUGAACCCAUCAUUUUUUAUGGCUGCAUAGUAUUCCAUAGUGUAUAUGUGACACAGGAAGGGG
rnacentral:lncRNA from 10 species